CUCCGCCUCUCCCCCACCUUUCUUCUUCUCUGUAAUAGAGAUUCAUCAAAUUUCUUUACAAAACAGUAGUUAGUUCAUGAAAUUUCUCAUCAGUAAAACCCUAGAGUCAAGAUCCCUUUUAUUUCUCAUUAACAAAGUUCAAAAUAAAUUAUAACACACAAAUCAGAAAAACCAAAGUUAGAAAUCUAAGAGGAAACCAUAGAUUUUUAUGGCAAACUGAAGUAAGUUCUCAGUUGUAGAACUUUAAUGUUGUUUCUCAAUAUUUUCCAUAAAUUUUCUUGAUUAGAUAUCAAAAUCAUACUUCUAGGGUUCGUCGAAAUGGAGAAAUUUUUUGUAUUUGGUUUUGGUUUUAGGUUACCUGUCAUGAAAAAUCCCUAGAUAGAGUGGUUCUUACUCUGGACAGGGUUCACAUAAGAAUCAACCCUACUGAUUUGUUUUGAAGAGAUCUGAGGUAUGGGUUUUCAACUUUUCUUCUCCCUUUCACGGAAAAGGCCUUAGCUUCAGCUGCGGUACCAAAGGAUGCAUCAACACCAGCUGGAGAGUGGUGGAUUUCUUUGGAACCCUCUCGAAUGGGCGCUGGAGUGCAUGAAGGACCUUUUACUUGUUAAUGUGAGGGGAAAUCUCCAGAUAAUUGUACCGCCAAAGAAUAUUCUGAGCAAUUGGGUGUUGAGGCAUGUUUUUGAGCAAUUCAAGUCUUAUGAGGGUUUAUAUUUUUUCUUGGGAUCGUAUUUGAGCACCAGUGAGGAUCCUGACAUUCACUUUAAGUAUAUCGAGGUUGUAGCUAAAACUGGACAAAUCAAAGAUGUUGAACGCGUGACUAGAGAAUCAAACUUCUAUGACGCGGAGAAAACAAAGAAUUUUCUUAUGGAGGCCAAGCAUCCUGAUGCAAGAUCCCUGAUCAAUGUAUGUGAUUGUGUUGGUUUUGUUCCAGAUGUCACCCACUACCUCUACACGAACAACAUGCUCCUAUAUUUCGAAGGUUAUAUUCACAAGGUGAAUCCAGGAAACACUCCAUUAGUUAUGGGUCAGCUACUUGAUGAUGAACCCAAUUCUUGGAGCAUCUUGCGAGUGAAGGAAGCCAAGAUGCACAUGUCUGCAAUAAUUUGGGUAAACUAAUCAUAGACAGCAAUAACAAUCCUGAGCAUUUUUUCACGUCCAACCCAUAUUAUGAUCCACGAGUGGUAUCAAAUACUCUCUUCAACAAUUCAAAGUUGGAAGCACUACCGGAAACCCAGCCCACGUAGGAAUGCAACUCUGCAAUGCAGAAUUUAACUCCUUCCCAGUUGGUUAACAUUCCUAGUUCUGCUUUAACCACUGGUAACUCAACCGGGAUUGAAGAUCUAGUGGCACCUCGGUUCAAAGAAAACAAUAUUUACAUCAGUGCUCCACAGGUAACAAAGAAUGCGAGGAAGAAAUAAAAACAAGCUGGCUCUGUUUGUGUUCCCUCCAUUAUGGUAUACUGAAAUGCAACUGGUGGUUUCGGUAUGUUAUUUGGUGUUCACUUCAUUGCAGUUUACUGAAAUGCAACCGGUGAUUGUGGUCAUGGUAUAGAAGUUUCGGAAGAAGGAUACUAAAGGGGUUAUCAAGCAUCUUUCACAGGGGAACCACCAGCAGUAAGAACGCUCGAGGUCGGGGUUAUCAAGCAUCUUUCACAGGGGAACCACCAGCAGUAAGAACGCUCGAGGUCGACAUCUGCCUUUUUUGCUACAAGAUUAGUAAGCAAACCAAAAUAUAGUCUCUGUAAGGUUGUAACAUCAUCAUUUAUAUAUAUUAAUAUGAAAAGCUAGACUUCCAUUCAAUGUAAAGAAGUGAACUACAUUUUCAGGUAAUUAUAUGAAAUUUUA